ensembl:lncRNA
CUUUGUAGAAGGCAGGGAGCUAUGUAAAUUUGAGGGUAAUGCCUAGCUUUUCAAAUUUACACAAAGAUGCAUAUUGUCGACGAAAAUAAUCCAUAACCAAUCUAUAAAUGAAAAUUUGGGAGAGUUUAUUCUGGGCAAAAAUCUGAGGACCAUGGCCCAGGGCCUUUCUUCCUGAAGGAAGAAAGGGCACCAAAGAAGUGAGGUGUACAGAGUGGUUAUAUAGCCCCAAACAGGAUGUUUCACAUACGAAUGAAAUGUCCCUUUUACAAUAGACUGCUCUGUCGGCACAGCGAUUGAUGGAAACAGCAGGGACAACAAGGCAUUUGGAGAAGUGGAAGCAAUGGACAGAGUGGGAGGUCUCAGCUGAUAACAAGAGCAGAGACUAAGCUAACUCUUUCUGGCCGCUACAAAGAAGAAAAAGAGCCCACAGGAAAGGUCUUGAACUGAGAAUGGACCCGGAGUUUAAAACAGAAAUGCUUGAAUUAUCUCGUUAUGCCAUGUUAUCUACUUUGUGGACAUUCCAAGCUCAGCUGGAUUGUGUUGAGGCAUGAUUUGAAGUAAGGCAACACUGAAAUUGAUAGCUGUGAAAUGACAGCAGCAGAUGGACCUGGCUAGCAUGAAGCCAUCAAAGGUACUUCACGGUGCAAGAUAGUGUUCUCCACCUCUACCUCCCUUUGUAUUCCAGGCAGGAAGAAUAAGAAAGCUUUGAGGAGGAAGGGCUGGCACCUAUGCAAGGAAAGCAAAACUACGUAGGAAUUCCUGGUAGGUUUCAGCUAAUCUCAUUGACCAAACCAUGUUAUAUGGUCAGCCAUUGCUAUAAUAGAGUCUGGGAAGUGGUAGGGGGAUGUUUUUGGCUGUAUUGCCAAUAAAAAUUAAAUGAGGGUUCUUUUGGUAAAAACAAAAGAGAGAAUGGAUAUUGGCUAGGCAAGCAGCAUGUUCUACCACAUAUUGCUUCAAGAUAUUUACCAUUGUCCAUUCUGAUUGGGCAAUGCCUGUGACAUUGUAUUAUUUUGUACACCAUGCCUUCUUGUCCUGAUUUUGCUUGAUUAGAAGUAGAUUUUGUUCAACAUAGCAUUAGUGCACAGAGUUGAUGUUCUCAGGGAAUAAUGGCAUCCUGAGAGCUUGUUGUUCAAGAAUUCAUCCACAGUGCUCUGAAACAACAACCUCCCCACACAAUUAUUCAUACAUACAGAAAGACUAGGAAGGUAUGAUCGAUUGGCAGCAUUGGAUACAAAAUCAAAAGCAAAUCUGACAUCCUUCAUAUGGUGACCCUGGGAGUUGAAACCUAAAGGAUAAACUGUGCUGAUGUCAAAAAACCCAAAGCAAACACUGGUAGAAUUAAUAGGAGAAAUAGACAAAUCCAACGGAGAUUUUAAUAUCCCUUAUGAAGUGCAUAUAGUGAAAUCUCCAAGAUAAAACAUAUGUUGGGAAAUGAAACGUAUUCAAUAAAUUUAAAAAAGGCUUGAGGUUUUAAAUCAUGUUAACUGAUAAUGACACUUAAAUUAGAAAUAAAAAAUGUAAGAUAUCUUGAAAAGCCCAGACAUUUGAAAAUUAAAUAACUCUCAAAGGGGUCAAGGAAAAAAAAUCACAAAGAAAAGGAAAACUUAAUUUGAGUAAAAUUAUAACAAAAAUAUAGCCUAUGAAAAUUUGUGGAAUGUUGUAGAGCAGUACUUAAAGGAAAAUUCUUAAAUUAGGAGAGAAAAAAAGAUUUAAGAUCACUCUAAAUUUCCACCCUAAGAAGCUAGAAAAAGACAAACAGUAUAAACCCAACUAUAUAAAAGGACUAAAGUAAUAAAUAUAAGAGUGGAAAUCAAGAAAUAUAAAACAAACAAUGGAGAAAAUCAAUAAAAUCAAAAGUAAGUUCUCUGAAAAGAUUAAUAAAAUUGAUCAAACUAUAGCUAGAUUGAUAAGGACCAAAAAAGUUAAAAAGAAAACCAAAACUACUACUUUCAGGAAUAAAUGAGAGUUUUGCUUUUUUUCAUAUGUUAUGGAUAUUAAAGGGAUAAUAAAGGAAUUUUAUGAAUAUCUGUGUGCCAAUGUAUAUGACAAUUUAGAUGAAAUGAACCAAUGCCUUGAAAAACACAUUAUCAAAGCUGACGUAAUGGAAAAUCUGAGUAGCUCCAUAAUAAUGGAGUUGAAUUUAUUGUCAAAAUCCCCCCACAAGUAAACCUUGAGUCUCAAAUGGCUUUAUUGGUGAAGUCUAUCAAACAUUUAAGAAAGAAAGAAUGCAAAUCCUACAGUUAGCUUCCCAUAAAAUAGAAUAGGAGGUAAUAAUUCCCAACUUUUCUAUGAGGCUUAUCACAGGCCUGGCAUUUGAUUUUAUUCUACUUACAAGCUAAUAAAUUAGCCUAUUACUGUUUCAUAGAUUUUGGCAGAAGACAUGAGACUCUUGGAUCAGAGACAAAUGACUUUAUUACUCACAGAGGGCAAGCAACAUGAGCAUCAUCAUGUUUGUGUCUGUUCCCCUUUUUCUCAAGUCUCACAGAAGUGACUCAAAGGGCCAAAUGGAUGGCUCCACAUGCAGUGAACUGCAUUGUAGGAGAGGAAUCCUGAGUCUGGAGAUCCACCAACUUGUGUUUGUCUGCUGACACAGAGCCCUGAUUGAAAAUCAGGAAAAAUAGUUUUGGUUUUAGCUCAGCUAUUGACAUAUUCCCAGCACGAGUUAGAUCACCUGUGUUUUGGGAUCUCAGCUUCAUUAUCCAUAAAAUCAGAGGAUCUGGACAUGGUGAUUUCUCAGGUCCCUUCCAACUCUAUGAUUUCAAGUGUCUAUGUCCAUGAAGUAAACAGGUUUGAAAAAUGUAGCCCUAAAUAAUUUUAUGUAAUGGAAUUAAGAGCAUAAAGUUAAAGACAUGGUGAACUCCUUUGGUCAAAUGUUAGCUUGAAAAUAGCAAUUCCCUCACCCUAUGAUUCAUACAUUAUCUAGGGAUCUAUAACUUCCUGACAUUUGUAUUUAACACUUCUGACUUGUACUGCUCGUAAUAUAGUAUUCUUUUCAUAUCCAUUUUAACUAUCUCUUGAUGGUGAGAACAAAUCAAAUAAAUAUACCUAGGUGUUGAUAUGUGUAUGAACUGCAUAUCAAACAUCUAGAUAUAGAGUACCUACAUAUAUGUAUGUGGGAAUACAUAUAUAAAUGUGCAUAUCUCUGUACACAUUAAUAAAUAAUACUGGUGCAAUAAUAUAACUUUUUUUAUAGUCAUAAAGCAUAGCUUCAGUCCUUAAAAAGCUAACAUUUUCUUUCUAUCUACUUUUGCUGCUUUGAGAAAAGUAUCACAAGUUUACAGAGGAACAUUGGUCAUAUGCACCAAACUACUAGUCACUGUUUGUGUUUCUUCUAAAAUUCAAAUUUUUAACCAUGAGAUUUUCUAAACUUUGAAAAUAAAAAGUGAUAUCAAACUACCUAGGAUUCAAUGGCAUCAAACACAUACUUUGUGUUGAAACCAAGUUUUAGAGUAAAGUUCAAGGAAACAAAUGCUUAUUGUCAAACUCAAGAUCUUUCUUACUAGUUUUGAACUUGUUUGGUCUAGUAGUUAAGACAUUAUUUAUGGGGC